AUACGUAGGUCCCGAACGUUGCGCGAAAUUACUGGGCGUAAAGGGUCCGUAGGCGGUCUGGUAAGUGGAAGGUGAAAGCCUGGGGCUCAACUCCAGAAUUGCCUUCCAAACUGCCGGACUUGAGGCAGGGAGAGGUCGGCGGAAUUCCCGGUGUAGCGGUGAAAUGCGUAGAUAGCGGGAGGAACACCAGUGGCGAAGGCGGCCGACUGGAACUGUCCUGACGCUGAGGGACGAAAGCCAGGGGAGCGAACCGGAUUAGAAACCCUAGUAGUCC
rnacentral:rRNA from 1 species